AACUGUUGCUGUUUUUGUAGGGCAGCUGACAUUGGGUGCUGCACAUGGAGCUCGUGGGCAGCACUGAGCACCUGGAACCUGCCUCUGAUUUCGUGUGACAGUCCUGGCUCCUCCUUCAGCUCUGCCACGCUUUGGAAACCACAGCCAGCCUCCACGGAGACCUGCUCCCUGCCAGGUGGUACCGGGACAAUUCUGUAUGAGAGAGCUUCCCCUGGGCCAGGAGUCAGGACUGUGGGGAGCUGAGGCCACUCCUCUGUGUGUUCAGCUGGGUUCAGUCAAGCCCCCAGAGUCUCCAGGAAGAAGAGCCAGCUCCAAAUCCUCAUUAUUCAGCAUGCUGAACAACAUCCUCUGAAUUGCCCAGGUUGGUUGAAAGGAGCUUGUGCUGUGGCUGGGACCUGCCUUGUCUUCAGCUGAGCAUCCCACCUGGCCUCUGAACUGACAUCACUCUUCACUGCUGCUGCCCAGGAGGGGACCUGGCCUCUCUGCUCCUUCCUGGCUUGCCUCUUACCACUAAAUAGCUGAGCUUAACAGCAGGGGAUGGAGCCAGUGCUCUACAGCCAAGUUUUGUCUGCCAUGGGACUUGGUCAAGGUAAAUCAGUCCAUUUAGCCAUACGAAACUACUGAUUUUUGACAAGAUAGAGCUUUCAGCAGCAGUCCAGGAUCUUUGAAUUUUUCACACUGUGGAUGGACUUCUAGGGUGACUGGAGUUCAAGUCCUUUGCAUCUUAGAGAUACCUUCUCUGUGAGCAGGUUUUUUUUAAUGUACAGUUCAAAUGUAUGCCUGGGGCAGAUAAACACACAUCUAAAGAAGCUGGGAGCCUUGCAGUUGUAAUCCAAGCUCUCUGUGCCCUGGUGCUCCUGCCUGUUUUCAGGCACCCCAAAUGUGGCCAGCAAAGUGAAGAGCAUCUCUCAGCAGCCUAAGUCAGCUCUGCAGCUGAGCCACUGCAUGUGGAGCUGUGGCCAGUGGAAAUUCAGCCUUGUUGUAGGUGAAGCCAGGACAGGCAGGACAGGAGUCUGCAGCAGCCAAGAAUUUGUCUGGGUCAUGGGAGCUGUUUCAGAUUUGUCAUUAUGUGGAGGAGAUGCAGUCCAUAUUCUGCAACUGCUAUGAGAGACCUCCCAUGCCAGAAACUCUCCUCCUUCUCAGAUGGUUGUCCUGGUCUAGCCUGCUCCCAUCUCCCUGCAACUCUUCCUGUUCUUGCCCAGCCUCAGGUCUUGGUGGGGUCUGUCAGCCCUGAAUCAACUUCCAGCCUUCCAGGCAGGUGGACAGGUCCCAGGGGAAGCAACUGCAGGGCCAUGACCAGCUCUGCCCACCCUGCAGGGGAGUGACCAGAGAAAAUCCUGGCUGCAGAUGAGAGUGGAAGUGAGGCACAGGAGAACCCCAUUUCCAUCACAUGAGAGGGGCAGAGACAGCCCAGAAGAAGGCAUUUGGAAGAUGUAAUCAGGAUGUCCAUGAGGAAACCAUAUCGUGGAAGGCGGCUGGCAGUUUGGAUACCUGAAGUCACCUCUUUUGAGUCAGACAUAUGAAAAGAGAAGCAACAUAUCUUUCAAAAGGAAAAAAAAAAAAAGAGAAUCAUCUACCUCCCGUUAAGUCAUCAGUUUUGUUAAAUUGAUCAUCCCUUGUUUUUAUUUUGUGCCCUGUCCUGGGCAUGGAUGGGACACCCUGGUAGAAUGUUUGUUAGACUCUUAAGGUGUAAAUGAAUCAUUGCUCUUAAUGGAGUUCUUACUUUAUUUUUUUUCUUAAUAUAGAAGUAUAUAAAUUUCUACAUGUGUAUAUAUGCAUAUAUGUGUGUAUGUAUAUGUAUAUAUAUAUAUGUAUAUCACCAUCCCUUUCUAGAAAAGGAAGUGAAAUAUGUAUGUUUACAUAUAUCACUAUGAAAAAAUUUUUCAACUCAACAAAACCUUAAAUAGAGCAAUCAUGUUGCAAUUCACCGUGAAAAUUCACCUAAGAGUUAUGUUGUCUUCAUAUGAAAUAGAAUUAAAGUGAAUGAAUGAAGACUACAGUACCCUGAACAGAAGUCCUGGGAUUAACUAAAAACAAGAGCUUGUAAAGCCAACAGUUGAGGUUCUUCAGUGUUUAUUAUAUAUUGCCAUCUCAUCAGAUAAACUUAAAAUGAUCUCCAUCAUUUGCUGCUAGUGCUCUCUGGAGAGUAGAUGGUCAAAAAGUGAUAUGGUUGCAUAUCACAUCCAGUUCUUCAGUCUGUGCACUGCCUACACAACCAUUGCUGUUGCUUCAAACAAGCAGUCCUAAGUGCAGUGAAAAGUAUUUUUGUCAGUAAAACGCUCUCUAUGGAAUCAUGGAUAAAACCACAUUUUCCAACCAGCUUCUGCCAGGGGAAGCCCAGGUGCCCUCCUUGCAGCAAAGUGUAAAGGUUUGGAGCCCUGGUGUUGUCCCAGAUGUGGAAGCUGUCCCUGCAAGGCAGACACGGGCUGAGCACACGUCUCUUCUCAAUCACAGAGGCUCCAGCUUGGCUCAGCCACCUGCAGCCUGGGCAGAAGGAUUUCUCCUUUUCCCAGGCUUCAGAAGAGUCAGCAGCCAUCAGAUGGUGUGACAAAGGUGAUGGCACUCUGGAUUGGAAAAAAGGCACCAAAAAACCCUUUUGUGAAUAUUUCCAUUAUGUUGUUGGAAUUUUCCCUCCUUUCCACAUGAAGAGUGCCUUCCGUCAAAUAAUUGCUGAGCCAGUUGAUCAAUUUCAAUCAAGUGGGACAGAAGGAGAGAGCUGUGAGACAUGAAGUUUCAGAAGAAAACAGGUUCUUUGAUUGUCGAUAAAUGCAGUAAACAACAGGCUGCUUUCUCUCAGAAGAAGUUAUAUGAAGUUGUCAUCCAUUUGACGGUAUAUACUCUAUUCUCCUUCAUCUUCUAUCAGUUUCUGCCAAGACCUGCAUUAGUGGAAAUCUGAACUGUAGUUUGGUGUUUUCACCCUCAUGGCAGAGUAAGAAAGAAUGAGAGCUCCUUCCCUAGACCCUGUACCACCUCCAAGCCCACAGCGUGGCUCUGCACAUAGGAAAAUGUGUGAAUGCUGUAACUCUGUCUCCUCCACUUGAAAGCAGAAGAAUUUAAUCAACUGAGGAGCUGAUCAUGCCUUUGGGACAGGGAGGAGGACUUGGGAGCUUCCAGGAAUCUCCUCUGCUCCAUCAGGCGCCUUGCUUCCCCAGGAGCUGCCUUCACAUCAGAGAGCAGUGUGAAAGAUUAGGAAAAAAUAAAAGAGGAAAAAAAAGAGUGUUUACAGGGGAGACUUUGCAGACAGAAGGAAGCUGGGUGCAAGGCCCUAUCUAUGGAUGGAGAUUACUUCUGCUUCUUAAAGAUCUGCAGUAGGAUUUUUUUCCACUUCCUUUGCUGAAUGAAAAGAUGACAACACAGCAUACAUCUAGGGACACCUGCUGAGAGAAUGAAACACAAUAAACACAAGCAUGCUAUGGUGAGAGACAUAUUUUGCUUGUACAAUAGACAUUUUGAUCCAGAGUUACAGAAAGUUUAAACCCGUAAAUUAAAAUCAAUUCAAAUGCUUUUGUUAUUCAACCUGAGAUUUUUUUUGGUUGUAUUUUGUAGGUUUUUUUAAGCUGGAAAAAUUUGAUCUCAUGGUUAAUAGAAUUAUGAAAAAGAAGAAAGUACUUCUAAACAAGGUCUUCUAAGGUAUCCCCUGGGACUAUGAUUUGAAACUGGUCUUGCAUUAAUUGCAGUUUCUCUGGCUGUUUGUUAGGCCAUUGCCAUGCUGUGUUAAGGUCUCAAUGCUUUUAUCUAGCCCUCCCCUAUUCCCUGUUUGUUCUUCAGCAAGGAUGAGAGGAACCCUUACAGUAUGCAAAUACAUAAUGCUUUCUAUGCUUCUUUCUUUAGAGACAUAAAAGGAUUUUUUAAAAAAGGCAAGUUGAAUACAUGGCAAUAAAGACAUAAAUCUUCAGAAGCAGGCAAGAUACACUCCCUCUGCACUUCACAUAUGAAGCAUGGUUUUUGCAAAGAAAGAGUUUGUUAGGAGAACCAGAGGAAGCAGGAUUUCCAUAAUGAUUUGCAAGAAAAAAUUCUGUAACACAUGGCACCGUAUUUCCUUCAGAACUGCAAUCCCCUUGGGACCAAAUUCUUUACUACUUAAUCACUGCAGUAAUUAGAGAUGAUGUUGGCAAGUGUUCAUUGAACGUUGUGUCAUUUUACAUCUUAAAACAUUUUGGCGUUACCAUUUUCUUUAUUCGGUGUGUUCUGGUCCAUCCCCUGGAUGAUUAGACACAGCUGGCCUUUGCUUUGGGACCAGGUCCGUUUUGCAAUUAAGAGCUGUGUUGGUCUGCACUGAUAAAAAGAGGGACUAAAUAGUUCUAUUUAUGGCUUCUAAAUUACUUUUCCACCAAACAUUUUUUAUAAUGACUUGUACACAAGAGACUUGAUGUGAAACAAAUCUGACUGAAACAGAGGAUUCCAGCCACAAGAAAUAGCUCUGUCCUACAGUGAGCCUUCAAAUGUGGAAAACUGCAGUACCAAAGUAUGAACGAAGGUCUCUCUGUAGAUGGAGAAUAAUGUUGCAGCACCAAACCUGCGUGCAGAAUGUGGCUGUGAUGAUGAGGAGUGCCCGGGGGGUGUGGGCAGCAAGGGGCAGCCAUCAGCGGCAUCUGCCUCAUGCUGCUCCUUCCCUCUCUGCUGCUCUGUACAGGCUGGCCAAUGUGAUGUCAAAUGAGGAGAAAGGGAAAUGGGAAAGGGCUGUUCAACCCCUAAAUCUGACAGUUGAAACUUCUGUUGGUAAGGUUGGGGGAAAUGUGCUUGAGGUAUUAAUAAUACAUCUGGAAAUAGUGCAACCUGACUUCUCUGCAUUUCAGGCCUGUGCCUGUAGCUGUCACUUCAGAAAAGUAGGAAAGGUUCUUCUUGCAAGAUAUCAUAAUAGCUGAAAACUGCAGGUGUACCUUUCAGUUUUCUAAAAUCCAAGCAUCAUUAACUAUGUUGAGUGGCAUAUCAAGGCAACAGUGCACGGUGGAAGGUCCCUGCACUACUCUUGCAGGCUCAGAUUGUCCUUUUACACUCUAGAUCUUAAUCUUCAUUUUUCAAAAUGUUCAUGUGUCUGUUACUUUUUUUAAACAGGCUUUGAUGAGGCACUGGAGCCUUUCAAAGAUUAAACGUGGAGGGUGCAGGAAUGGCCUGGCUGUGAUGCACACUUCUCUCUGGCCCUAUGUGUUUGAACAUCCUUUCAGCUGGGCAGGCAUGGCAGUGCCCCUCAUAAUUGGGCUUGGUCUUGGAUAAAGAUUGUUUCCGCUUUCAGUCUCAUUUCGUAGAGGCUGAAACAGAAAAUUCAUCAGAUGUAAAGUUCAGCUUAAAUGACAAUUUGUGUGAUCAAUGACCUUCUAAAAGACAAGGUGGUAGAUUAUAAUGUCUUUUGAAAUGCUUUCAGAGGAGAAAAACACACAGUAAAAAUUAUAUGACAAAUAUAAAAAAGGGAAAAGAAAACAAAGUUAGGAACAGAAGCAAGCACUAGCAGCCAUUAUGCUUUUAAAUUAUCUCUCCACAGCCUACAAAUCUUUACUUUGACUCACGCAUACCAUACAUCUAGCAAAGAGAGAAAUAAUAUUUUUUAUUGCCACUCAAUUAUAAUUGAUAUACUACUGUAUCAUUUUAAAAUGUAUGAAAGCUGAAAAGUACACACACAAAAAUUUUAAAUGGCAGGCAAAGAACAGCAUAAUAAAAGUGAUAGAACUUUCUGAGCUAGUUUUACAUACAUGCCUUUCUCCCCUUAUAUGCAUGUUCCAGGCAGAGAAAAAGUACUAACAAAAAUUGGUAAUGCGUAAUAGCUCAAAACUGAUUAAAGAAAAUUACCUCUCCUUUUAAUUCUGCUUACAAGCCUUUUCUGCAAUAUUGAUUAUUUUUCAGAGGUAAGUGAUAGUAUCUAUCCUUUCUGCAAUUAAUCUAUAUGUUCAUUCUGCAUGGUGGUUUUAGAAAUCCUCUGAGGUCCAGAAUUAGGGUACUGGUAACUCUAGAAUAAAGCUAAUUCUAUGACAGUUUCUAAGAAAAAAUCUGGCCAAAGGCUGAUUGUGCUGCUACUGUGACAAAGGCAGUUAGUGCAUUAGUUGUCUGACAUACUAGAGGACAGGUUCUGGUAUAAUUUGAAACUAGAAUUCAGGUUGCACCUGGCCAAUUGCUUCCUUGCUCCACCACUAGCACUGAAAAUUCCAGAGCUGUGGCUGUAUGGCAAAUGAAUGACAAAAACCACUGUUUAUGAUUUUGUUUGCUACUCUUAAAUAAUUCUGAUGUUCCUUUUUUUCAUCCAUUUCAGAGCCUGUCACUUAUGUAUAUCUUCCAAGAGAUGAUGUGAGUUUUGUGCUGAAAGUUGUAUCUCUCAGUCUUUGUUAUAUUCAUCACAUAUGCCAAACUGAUACCAAAAGGGAGUAAGUUUUCAAGCAUGUUACGUAGACAAUUCACGCACUACUUUUUUUCCUAUUUUUCCAGAUCAAAUGCUUCUAAAUCAUCAUGAGGCAGGAGAUAUUAUGGGAUGCACCUUAAACAAAGUGCUGAACACAGUCUGAGUGGCUGCAAGUUCAGGGAAACUUCCUGCCGAGACUUCACUUAGACCAACUGAUAUCUUCUGCCUGCCUGGAGAAAACCUUUGUCCUCGAGACUGAAGGCACUUAAAAUGUGCAGUGUGCUGAAGUGGCAUUAUCUUCACUUCACUGAUAAGAAGAUUUACAUCCACAAAAAGCCAGACUGGAAGCUCUGGGAAAACUCGUGGAUCUGCAGAGGAAGAGAUGUCCAGGGUGUUCCUCUAAGCAGGGCACGUGGGCGCCUGUCUGGGUGUAUUGGCCAUUGGCAGCAUCCUCACAAGUCCCACACGGUGUGCAAGGUGGCGGCUGGAGCUGGGUGACACACCCUGUGCAGCAAGGUGGCAGCUGGAGCUGGGUGACACACCUGUGCAGCAAGGUGGCAGCUGGAGCUGGGUGACACACCUAUGCAGCAAGGUGGCAGCUGGAGCUGGGUGACACACCCUGCCGGCCGUGGCUGCUGUGCUGAGAGGAGCUGUGCCGACAGCCCCGUGCUCCCCUGGAGCUCCUUCCUAAUGAGGGAAGUGCAGAUGGGCUCGCUGGGUAUUGAGUAAACACUGCGAAAGGAGCUGGUUCAAUAGAUGGGGAUGUCUCUGUUCAAGUGCAAACAUUAUGUUCGUGUUUCAUUCUUUUGAUGUAGCUUUUAUAGUGCUUAUUAAAACAAAAUUCUUGGC